rnacentral:rRNA from 1 species
CCUACGGGCGGCAUCAGUGGGGAAUAUUGGACAAUGGGGGGAACCCUGAUCCAGCCAUGCCGCGUGUGUGAAGAAGGCCCUCGGGUUGUAAAGCACUUUCAGUGAGGAAGAACGCCUGGUGGUUAAUACCCAUCAGGAAAGACAUCACUCACAGAAGAAGCACCGGCUAACUCCGUGCCAGCAGCCGCGGUAAUACGGAGGGUGCGAGCGUUAAUCGGAAUUACUGGGCGUAAAGCGCGCGUAGGUGGCUUGAUAAGCCGGUUGUGAAAGCCCCGGGCUCAACCUGGGAACGGCAUCCGGAACUGUCAAGCUAGAGUGCAGGAGAGGAAGGUAGAAUUCCCGGUGUAGCGGUGAAAUGCGUAGAGAUCGGGAGGAAUACCAGUGGCGAAGGCGGCCUUCUGGACUGACACUGACACUGAGGUGCGAAAGCGUGGGUAGCAAACAGGAUUAGAUACCCCUGUAGUC